rnacentral:lncRNA from 1 species
AUCCGCGCCUGCGCAGCCGCGGGUCGCCCAGGGUUGGGAUGUUGGUGUCGGCUGGGGGCUGCUGUGAGGCGCUUGGUAGCACCCAGUCCUGAUACUCUCCAGUUACCCGGUAGGCGGGGCUCGGACACAAAGAAAAGGUGAAUUCGCAGCUGAGAGCCCUUGUUUCCGGUCCUUUUUUUUUUUUUUUUGAGAUGGAGUCUCGCUCUGUCACCCAGGCUGGAGUGCAGUGGCGCCAUCUCGGCUCACUGCAAGCUCUGCCUCCGGUGUUCAAGCGAUUCUCCUGCCUCAGCCUUCUAAGUAGCUAGGAUUACAGGCGCGCGUCACCACGCUUGGCUAAUUUUUGUAUUUUUAGUAGAGCCGAGGUUUCACCAAGUUGGUCAAGAUGGUCUCAAACUUCUGACCUCGUGAUCCGCCCGCCUCGGCCUCCCAAAGUGCCGGGAUUACAGGCGUGAGCCACCGCGCCCGGCCGUCUCCGAUCUUUACACGCAUUCUUCGUGUUAUCUGAAGACACUCUGACGCCACCACCCAAAGCAACUGGCAGUUGACUCUUGGCAAUUUUAAGCUUGUGUGGAAAGCAGCCGCCGCCCGGUAGCUCCUUUUUAUCUAGAGACACUCAGGAUGUGGGGGACACCCCAGCAAUGCCAUCCCUCCUUUGACCUCCAGAGCGCGCAGAAUUACAAAGUUGAGUAAUACUUUAUUUGAAAAAAUGAAAAGUGCACACACACACACACACACACACACUUACAUAGGCACAGUAUAAUCUGGAAGUAUGACCAGCAAAUGAUAACUGAUUCCCUCAGGGGAGAAGAAACUGGGUGGCUGAAGGACAGGAAUGAGAAAGAAGGACAGUUGCGUUUGUUUGUAUCGUUUGAAAUUGUCCAGUGUGUAUGUGUUCUUUUCAAAUGUUUGAAGAACCAUUGGCUCCCUUAUCAAAAUGUAAAUACCAAGGAAAAUCAGGAAUUUAAGAAGUCUAAGAAUUCUGUAAUGCUGGGUAGAAUUUUCUGUACGUGUAAAACUAAAAUGUCUUUUGUAAAUCACUGAGUCUUCCUGUUUAUUUCUGGUUAGAGAUCUUUGGGGGCUUGGAUGGAGGAACAGGAAAAGAGGAGCCAGGCUUUUUUGGAAAAUUGGCGGCAGCGGUGGCAUACGGGAAACUGAAAUCUUUAUCUAAUCUCAUCCUUUGUAUAUUCGUCUUGGAUUUGCUGAAGAAAAUUAAAAGGCCAGGCCUACCACUCCUAUGGCACAGUAUUGAUGAGAGACAUCAGUGGAGCUCCCCACCUCCACCCCAGGCUUGGAACUUAGGGAAUGACUGGUUUUUGUCAUUUCACACAACAGCUGAAGGAUUCUGUCCCCACCUCGUCCUCUGUGAAGUCUGCUGGACGUACCUGCCAGAAUCUUCUGAAGAUGACGUUUGCUGAACACUGACCCACAGGGGUUUGAUGGAUUAUUGACAAUGAGACAAGCUGUCUUUUCAUCAAUUAGAUAUUCCAGUUGUUUCAGGUCAAUUUCCCAAGAUUUCUCUGGCUGGAGAGAAAGAAAGGAUGAGACUAAGAUG